GACGAACGCUGGCGGCGUGCUUAACACAUGCAAGUCGAACGAGUGGCGAACGGGUGAGUAAUACGUGGGAACCUGCCCUCCUUUUUGGGAUAAGCCUUGGAAACGGGGUCUAAUACCGAAUAAAGGGGGAUGGGCUCGCGGCCUAUCAGCUUGUUGGUGGGGUAAUGGCCUACCAAGGCGACGAUCGGUAGCUGGUCUGAGAGGACGAACAGCAACACUGGGACUGAGACACGGCCCAGACUCCUACGGGAGGCAGCAGUGGGGAAUUUUGGACAAUGGGGGCAACCCUGAUCCAGCCAUGCCGCGUGCAGGAUGAAGGUCUUCGGAUUGUAAACUGCUUUUGUCAGGGAAGCGGUACCUGAAGUAUAAGCACCGGCUAACUACGUGCCAGCAGCCGCGGUAAUAC
rnacentral:rRNA from 1 species